AUGCACGCUGGCGGCGUGCCUAAUACAUGCAAGUCGAGCGAACAGACGAGGAGCUUGCUCCUCUGACGUUAGCGGCGGACGGGUGAGUAACACGUGGAUAACCUACCUAUAAGACUGGGAUAACUUCGGGAAACCGGAGCUAAUACCGGAUAAUAUAUUGAACCGCAUGGUUCAAUAGUGAAAGACGGUUUUGCUGUCACUUAUAGAUGGAUCCGCGCCGCAUUAGCUAGUUGGUAAGGUAACGGCUUACCAAGGCAACGAUGCGUAGCCGACCUGAGAGGGGGAUCGGCCACACUGGAACUGAGACACGGUCCAGACUCCUACGGGAGGCAGCAGUAGGGAAUCUUCCGCAAUGGGCGAAAGCCUGACGGAGCAACGCCGCGUGAGUGAUGAAGGUCUUCGGAUCGUAAAACUCUGUUAUUAGGGAAGAACAAAUGUGUAAGUAACUAUGCACGUCUUGACGGUACCUAAUCAGAAAGCCACGGCUAACUACGUG
rnacentral:rRNA from 1 species